rnacentral:sRNA from 1 species
AGAGCGGGUCUGCUGCGUUUCACUGGUGAAACGCUUCAUCAUCUGUGGAAAACUGGGACCGUUAACUUCCGGUGGUUCCGCGGUCCCCGCUCGGGCAUGGCCUUCUACGCGGUUGGUACGCCGAGUCAAAGGCACCUUCAACUCGGGCUGUCGUGAUAAAUUCUUGACUUUCGGGCUGUCGCGGUGGUCUCUGGACCACGAACAGUCCGCCGUUCCGGAGCCGGACGCCGUCCACCGUUCGUAG